UACGACUACAUAUCAGGCAUAUCAAUAAGCGGAGGAAAAGAAACUAACUAGGAUUCCCUCAGUAACGGCGAGUGAAGCGGGAAGAGCUCAAAUUUGAAAUCUUCAAGGUUUUACCUUGACGAAUUGUAGUUUAAAGAAGGUGUUUUCUGUUGGUGUUUUGGUAAAAGUUCUUUGGAAUAGGACAUCAUAGAGGGUGAGAAUCCCGUAUUUGACCAUUACUUUCAGCGUUGUGAUACACUUUCAAAGAGUCGGAUUGUUUGGGAAUGCAGUCCAAAAUGGGUGGUAAAUUUCAUCUAAAGCUAAAUAUUGGCGAGAGACCGAUAGCGAACAAGUACCGUGAGGGAAAGAUGAAAAGAACUUUGAAAAGAGAGUUGAAACAGUACGUGAAAUUGUCAAAAGGGAAGCGUUUGACACCAGUGUUGUUUUCUCGAAAAUCAAUUAAAAAGUAUGGGAUUUUGUAUUGUUAAGACCUUAUCAGCUUACGGUACUUUUUUCUUAUUCUUUUUAAUGCACUUUUCGUUUAACAAGUCAACAUCAAUUUCUUUUGUUGUGAAAGAGUCAUUGGAAGGUGGCUUUCACUUCGGUGAAAGUGUUUAUAGCCUUUGGCUUCUGCAAUCGGAGAGAUUGAGGUCUGCAGCGUAGAUCCUUCGGGGUUAGAUACGUAGAUGCUAAGUUAUAGUUUUUCAUAGACAACUUGUUGACUAUGAUUAAUCAUGUAGCUUACUCGUUAGCGCUAUUUUACCUACGCUUAGGAUGUUGACGCGCGUGUGUGCGUG
rnacentral:rRNA from 1 species